ACACGACGUUUGUAAUUUUUCGUUGCUUUUAGCAGCCAUUUUAUCACAUUAUUAAAAAUUGUUUUGUAAUCAUCAAAUAUUGCUAUUGAAACUGUGAGUUAGUGAUGAAGGAUAUCAAAACUGAAGAACUGGAAGUCCUGCGGUCAUAUUAUGAAAUUGGAGUUGACUGUGCUAUCUGAAUAAAAAUUCCUGAUUUUCGUUUCCAACAUAUGAAUAGGCAUGAAGAUGUAUGGUAAUGGUUGGAUCUUGUACUAAUUGGGCGUGCGUGAAAUGGUAAGAAGGUGACGAUUGUGCUGAUACCUGGAUUCAUCCUCAAACCAUGAUGGAGUUCUACAACUUCCUACCACACGAAGUAGGAAAAUGAAUCGGUUUUGAGUCUUGUAAACAUCCAUGUAAUUACUUCACGUUUUAAAUAAUUCUAUUCUAUAAAACAUGUGAAGAAAAGUGGAUUUAUUAAACAAAACCGAAGGGAAAUAACUUCAGCUUCUCUAAUUCGUACCUAAGACGGUGACGAUUGUGCUGAUACCUGGAUUCGUCCUCAAACCAUGAUGGAGUUAUACCACUUCCUUCCCCACGAAGUAGAAAAAUGAAUUGGUUUUGAGUCUUAUAAAUAUCUAUGUAAUUAUUUUACGUAAAUUGGUAUUCCUAUUAGCACAUUUUAAAUAUUUUUUGAACGUAUGUGAACAAAAGUGGAUUUAUUAAACAAAACCGAAGGUAAAUAACUUCCGUUUCUCUAAUUCGUAAGUUCUCAUACAUUAUAACUUUUACUUUUGUUAUUUAUAAUUAUUUACAUUUUUUUUGGUUAUACGUCUAUUUUACUUUUUCUCCUUUGACUUUUUCUUUUUUUUUUUUUAAUUAAAUCUGUAGAAAUAAAAUUAGUGGUCUAUUUGAGAGGAGAUAUUCUCAUACAUUCAUAUCUUAAAUUAAACAAUAUUAAAUAUAAAUGUGAAAAUUCAU